rnacentral:rRNA from 1 species
UGGGGAAUAUUGCACAAUGGGCGCAAGCCUGAUGCAGCCAUGCCGCGUGUGUGAAGAAGGCCUUCGGGUUGUAAAGCACUUUCAGCGGGGAGGAAGGCGAUAAGGUUAAUAACCUUGUCGAUUGACGUUACCCGCAGAAGAAGCACCGGCUAACUCCGUGCCAGCAGCCGCGGUAAUACGGAGGGUGCAAGCGAUAAUCGGAAUUACUGGGCGUAAAGCGCACGCAGGCGGUCUGUCAAGUCGGAUGUGAAAUCCCCGGGCUUAACCUGGGAAGUGCAUUCGAAACGGACAGGCUAGAGGGUGGUAGAGGGGGGUAGAAUUACAGGUGUAGCGGUGAAAGGCGGAGAGAUCUGGAGGAAUACCGGUGGCGAAGGCGGCCCCCUGGACAAAGACUGACGCUAAGGUGCGAAAGCGUGGGGAGCAAACAGG